AGUUCUAUACUUUAACAAAAAGGCUUGACUUGCAUUCAACUAUUGAGAUAUCACUCUAGAACUA
rnacentral:tRNA from 1 species